UCUUCGGUGAUGAAUUACACAGAGACUUUCGUUCUUCUGAGCUUUCUGAAGCCACCCUUCCUGUCCUGAGAAGA